rnacentral:tRNA from 1 species
ACCUGGGUGGCUCAGUCGGUAGAGUGCCUGACUCUUGAUUUCAGCUCAGGCAGGUCAUGAUCCCAGGGUUGUGGGAUAGAGCCCCACACCAGGCU